CACAGUGUGGCUCGGCACUGCAGCCUGAAGAAGGAGAGCGGUAAAUCCAGGAAGACUACUGGGAAAAGAAUGACUUCAUUAGAAGUUCUAAAGGGCCUACAAACAAGCUGAUCCAGAUUUGCCGUUCUUAUGAGGCAGAAUGGAGGCAAAGAAAACGUCACAAAAGGACGAUCCUGAGUGUGUCGUGGAGAUCCAUGUCCUCCAUGAAGUGCAUGAGUUUGUCUCCAUCGAGGGAUCUGAGGGGCUUGAUGAGUGUAAAUGUGUGGCGAACACUUGCCUUCGGCUCACGGCCAUCACCCAAGCAAUGAACUGAAGUUAUACCCCAAAGUUGAAAUACACUUAUUUUUGCUUACUUUUUUCUUGAACUGAAUUUCCUCAUGAUGUUUCUUGGAAGUCCAAUGUUUUGCGUAAGCAGUGGUGGGAUUUUGAGAUAAUUGUUCUUCACUGGAGAAUUUUCUUUUCAUUGCACUUU